rnacentral:rRNA from 1 species
GAUGAACGCUGGCGGCGUGCCUAAUACAUGCAAGUCGAGCGAACAGACGAGGAGCUUGCUCCUCUGACGUUAGCGGCGGACGGGUGAGUAACACGUGGAUAACCUACCUAUAAGACUGGGAUAACUUCGGGAAACCGGAGCUAAUACCGGAUAAUAUAUUGAACCGCAUGGUUCAAUAGUGAAAGACGGUUUUGCUGUCACUUAUAGAUGGAUCCGCGCCGCAUUAGCUAGUUGGUAAGGUAACGGCUUACCAAGGCAACGAUGCGUAGCCGACCUGAGAGGGUGAUAGGCCACACUGGAACUGAGACACGGUCAAGACUCCUACGGGAGGCAGCAGUAGGGAAUCUUCCGCAAUGGGCGAAAGACUGACGGAGCAACGCCGCGUGAGUGAUGAAGGUCCUCGGAUCGUAAAACUCUGUUAUUAGGGAAGAACAAAUGUGUAAGUAACUAUGCACGUCUUGACGGUACCUAAUCAGAAAGCCACGGCUAACUACGUG